rnacentral:rRNA from 1 species
UGGGGAAUCUUGGACAAUGGGCGCAAGUCUGACGCAGCCACGCCGCGUGAGUGAGGAAGGCCUUCGGGUUGUAAAGCUCUGUCGCCUGGGAAAAACGGCUAUCCGGGGAAAGUUCGGGUAGCGUGAUGGUACCAGGAAAGGAAGCACCGGCAAACUCUGUGCCAGCAGCCGCGGUAAUACAGAGGGUGCAAGCGUUGUUCGGAAUUACUGGGCGUAAAGCGUGCGUAGUCGGUAUUGAGAGUCGCGGGUGAAAUCCCAGGGCUUAACCCUGGAACUGCCUGCGAGACCUCAGUACUAGAGUGUGAGAGGGGAUAGUGGAAUACCCAGUGUAGCGGUGAAAUGCGUAGAGAUUGGGUGGAACACCGGUGGCGAAGGCGGCUAUCUGGCUCACAACUGACGAUCAGGCACGAAAGCGUGGGGAGCAAACAGGAUUAGAUACCCUAGUAGUCCCUGAGCGGGCUGGCAAGGCGCAU